rfam:Populus trichocarpa scaffold_11_contig_565, whole genome shotgun sequence.
UCUAGAACUCGAGAUAUGGGCUGAACAAUGUCUGGGCUAGAGAACAGAUUCCGACUUCUCUUUUGUUGCUACAAUUGGAACUUGAAAAACGACCGUUUUGAAUCUUGGACUCUUCAUGAAAGUUUUAGGCCUAUGUCUUAGCUUUCCAUC